AACUUCGGGCAAAUUGUUUUUGUGGG
rnacentral:piRNA from 1 species